rnacentral:rRNA from 1 species
CCACACAGCCAUAUCACCCUGCAGUUAAAAACUGGUUACUCACUGAAGUUAAGCAGGGCUGAGUCUGGUCAGUACCUGGAUGGGAGAACCUGGGAAAACUAGGUUGCUGUUGGAA